CUUGUUCCUGCAAGAGUGACGGGCGAUUUGUGCAUAAAGAUAAACUUCUUCAAAUUCAAAUUCUAUUGCUUAUUUUGUUCCAAAUCCUUUUUUUUUUUUCUUUCUUAUUGUUCAAAUUCUCUCAACCUUUUGUAUCCCACCUCUAUCCUUUUCAUCUCUUUUAUCUUGAUUUGUUAACUUAUUGAUUUAUUUUAAAGCUAAAGUUUCCGCUCAUGCUUCAACAAUGAUAUAAAAAGUUAAAGGCAAGGUUCAUUUAAUCGUGGGCUAUCGAUUAUAGGGCAGGAUCCUCUGUAAAGUUUCUUUACCGCCAUCUCGUUUAAAUUUCGUCUAUCUAAUUACUUUCUCUUUUCUUUUUAGGA
rnacentral:rRNA from 1 species